AGGAUGUACAGAUUUCAUAUGCCGGUUC
rnacentral:sRNA from 1 species